UGUUGAAACAAUCUCUGGUGAGCUAAGUCCCAAGUCAUGUUCACUGGAGUUUGUUUCAACACU
rnacentral:pre_miRNA from 1 species